CAGCCGCCACGGGAAUACGAAGGGUGCAAGCGUUACUCGGAAUUACUGGGCGUAAAGCGUGCGUAGGUGGUGGUUUAAGUCCGUUGUGAAAGCCCUGGGCUCAACCUGGGAAUUGCAGCGGAUACUGGGUCACUAGAGUGUGGUAGAGGAUAGUGGAAUUUCCGGUGUAGCAGUGAAAUGCGUAGAGAUCGGAAGGAACAUCUGUGGCGAAGGCGACUAUCUGGGCCAACACUGACACUGAGGCACGAAAGCGUGGGGAGCAAACAGGAUUAGAUACCCGAGUAGUCCCUGUCUCUUAUAC
rnacentral:rRNA from 1 species